rnacentral:pre_miRNA from 1 species
UAUGUACUCCCUCCGUUCGGAAUUACUUGUCGCAGAAAUGGAUGUAUCUAGACGUAUUUUAGUUCUAGAUACAUCCAUUUCCGAGACAAGUAAUUCCGAACGGAGGGAGUAGGAU